GAGUUUGAUUCUGGCUCACGAUGAACGCUAGCGGGAGGCCUAAUACAUGCAAGUCGAGGGGCAGCAGUUCGGCUGGCGACCGGCGCACGGGUGAGUAACGCGUACGCAAUCUACCUUCAAGAGAGGGAUAGCCCUGGGAAACUGGGAUUAAUACCUCAUAGUAUUAUUGAAUCACCUGGUUUGAUAAUUAAAGUUUCGGCACUUGGAGAUGAGCGUGCGUACUAUUAGUUAGUUGGUGAGGUAACGGCUCACCAAGACAGCGAUAGUUAGGGGGCGUGAGAGCGUGAUCCCCCACACGGGUACUGAGACACGGACCCGACUCCUACGGGAGGCAGCAGUAAGGAAUAUUGGACAAUGGGCGCAAGCCUGAUCCAGCCAUCCCGCGUGCAGGAUGACGGCCCUAUGGGUUGUAAACUGCUUUUAUUUGGGAAGAAACGAAUUCAUUUAUGAGUUCCUGACGGUACCUUAUGAAUAAGCACCGGCUAACUCCGUGCCAGCAGCCGCGGUAAUACGGAGGGUGCAAGCGUUAUCCGGAAUCACUGGGUUUAAAGGGUGCGUAUGCGGCUUUAUAAGUCAGAAGUGAAAGGCUGUAGCUUAACUAUGGAAUUGCUUUUGAUACUGUAAGGCUUGAAUUGGGUUGAGGUUAGCGGAAUGA
rnacentral:rRNA from 1 species